rnacentral:misc_RNA from 1 species
ACUUGACUAUUGAACUGCAUCUUUACAUAUGUUCAUUAAAUUUAUAAUUUUUUUUUCCUCAUAUUUUGGUUCCUUUAAUUUAUAUUAUUUCUACCCACAUGUAUUUUUCUUCAAUGUUAUAUAUUAUUUUUUAUUCAAAAAAAAAAAAAAAAAAAAAAAAAAAAAAAAAAAAAAAAAAAAAAAAAAAAAAAAAAAAAAAAAAAAAAAAAAAAAAAAAAAAAAAUACAAAAUAGAAAUUGUAAUGUAAAUUAAUAAAAAAUAAAUAAAAAAUAAAUUUGUAACUAGCCAAUUUUAAAUGACAUAAUUUUAUAAGAAAUGACUAAUAUUUUUUAAAUCUUAACAAUUGAAAUGAUUAAUAAUA